UCAACUAACCUGGACUCUUGGGAGCUC
rnacentral:piRNA from 1 species